rnacentral:rRNA from 1 species
UACGGGGGGGGCAAGCGUUGUUCGGAUUUACUGGGCGUAAAGCGCGUGUAGGCGGCUUUACAAGUCGGAUGUGAAAGCCCACGGCUCAACCGUGGAAGUGCAUCCGAAACUGUAUCGCUGGAGUCCCGGAGAGGAAGGUGGAAUGCUUGGUGUAGAGGUGAAAUUCGUAGAUAUCAAGCAGAACACCUGCGGCGAAGGCGGCCUUCUGGACGGUGACUGACGCUGAGACGCGAAAGCGUGGGGAGCAAACAGG